rnacentral:rRNA from 1 species
CCUACGGGUGGCAGCAGUGAGGAAUAUUGGUCAAUGGACGAGAGUCUGAACCAGCCAAGUCGCGUGAAGGAUGACUGCCCUAUGGGUUGUAAACUUCUUUUAUAUGGGAAUAAAAUGUUCCACGUGUGGGAUUUUGUAUGUACCAUAUGAAUAAGGAUCGGCUAACUCCGGGCCAGCAGCCGCGGUAAUACGGAGGAUCCGGGCGUUAUCCGGAUUUAUUGGGUUUAAAGGGAGCGUAGGUGGAGUGUUAAGUCAGUUGUGAAAGUUUGCGGCUCAACCGUAAAAUUGCAGUUGAAACUGGCAGUCUUGAGUACAGGAGAGGUAGGCGGAAUGCGUGGUGUAGCGGUGAAAUGCUUAGAUAUCACGAAGAACGCCGAUUGCGAAGGCAGUUCACUGGACUGCAACUGACACUGAGGCUCGAAAGUGUGGGUAUCAAACAGGAUUAGAUACCCCUGUAGUC